rnacentral:rRNA from 1 species
AACGAACGCUGGCGGCAUGCCUAACACAUGCAAGUCGAACGAGACCUUCGGGUCUAGUGGCGCACGGGUGCGUAACGCGUGGGAAUCUGCCCUUGGGCUCGGGAUAACAGUUGGAAACGACUGCUAAUACCGGAUGAUGACUUCGGUCCAAAGAUUUAUCGCCCAGGGAUGAGCCCGCGUCGGAUUAGCUAGUUGGUAGGGUAAAGGCCUACCAAGGCGACGAUCCGUAGCUGGUCUGAGAGGAUGAUCAGCCACACUGGGACUGAGACACGGCCCAGACUCCUACGGGAGGCAGCAGUGGGGAAUAUUGGACAAUGGGCGAAAGCCUGAUCCAGCAAUGCCGCGUGAGUGAUGAAGGCCUUAGGGUUGUAAAGCCCUUUUACCCGGGAUGAUAAUGACAGUACCGGGAGAAUAAGCCCCGGCUAACUCCGUGCCAGCCGCCGCGGUAAGAC